UGGGAGGUGAUGCUUGACUGUUAGGGUUGGGUGUCCAGGUAAUGAGGACAAGGCAUACUUCUGAUCCUUGGUAGUUUGAGGAACUCUUUUACAGGUUGGGCUGAUACGUCGUUCUAGUGCUCGUCUGCCCUUAGUGUGCUUUCGGGCUAAGUUGUUGUGUUCGUAUAAAUGUCCACUAAUGUUUGUGCCUUUAUCAUUGUGUGUUUAGAUUGUACGAAAUACUGCAUCAUGAUGAUGAUUGCGUGCAUCUGAAGGUACAACUUGAGUUUCCAGGUUGCACUAAUUUGCACCAAAAUCAAAGUUUUAAUAUUCGGGUAUCUGG
rnacentral:lncRNA from 1 species